GACGAACCGUGCGAACGUUGUUCGGAAUCACUGGGCUUAAAGGGCGCGUAGGCGGGCUGUCAAGUCUGGGGUGAAAUCCCCCGGCUUAACCUGGGAACUGCGUCUGAUACUGGAAGGCUUGAGUAUGGGAGAGGGAUGUAGAAUUCCAGGUGUAGCGGUGAAAUGCGUAGAUAUCUGGAGGAAUACCGGUGGCGAAGGCGGCAUCCUGGACCGACAUUGACGCUGAUGAGCGAAAGCUAGGGGAGCAAACGGG
rnacentral:rRNA from 1 species